rnacentral:rRNA from 1 species
UGGGGAAUAUUAGGCAAUGGGGGAAACCCUGACCUAGCCAUGCCGCGUGCGUGAAGAAGGUCUUAGGAUUGUAAAGCGCUUUCAGCGGGGAAGAUGAUGACGGUACCCGCAGAAGAAGCCCCGGCUAACUCCGUGCCAGCAGCCGCGGUAAUACGGAGGGGGCUAGCGUUGUUCGGAAUUACUGGGCGUAAAGGGCGUGUAGGCGGCCAAUUAAGUCAGAGGUGAAAUCCCCGAGCUCAACUUGGGAACUGCCUUUGAUACUGAUUGGCUAGAGUUCGGGAGAGGGUAGUGGAAUUCCCAGUGUAGAGGUGAAAUUCGUAGAUAUUGGGAAGAACACCAGUGGCGAAGGCGGCUACCUGGACCGAUACUGACGCUGAGGCGCGAAAGCGUGGGGAGCAAACAGGAUUAGAUACCCUGGUAGUCCACGCCGUAAACGAUGAGUGCUAGAUGUUGGGA